UUUACAAUUGUUUCUAUUAUUAAUCGGUAUCUGUUGGAUUGCUUCUUUUGGCGGAGUUCUUGUUUGUCAAUUUUUUCUUUCGGUCUGAUAUAAGAAGAUUCAAAUCACUGCUGUGUUCUGAUAGACCGGAAAUUGAGUGGUAGUCGAAGCUGAACGUUUGAAGCAAAUUCACUAUCGGAUGCCAAAUUGAUCAGUGUUGUUCAUGCAAAGAGCAGCUGCAAGAGAAGAGAAAGUAGAAGAAGAGGUCAAGCAUGAUGUUAGUUUUGGUUCAACCCCAAUAAUUUCUAGAAAAUGGUGACCAAGAAUAGUUGCAGUCGUGAGUGGAUUCUCUCGCGUGUGUCUUAGGUGCUCUGUUUCCUUACUUUCGAUCCAUUUUGAGGUUGGUGUUGUUGUUGGCUGGCUAUUGCUUUUUUCUUUUGCAUCCACUUGUUCAUUGGCUUGUUGUCUGAGAUAGAUCAUACUUGCUUCAACAAAAAGAAUAAGAAAGAAAUAUGGUGGUUCAUGAUGGUUGAAUAUAAUCGUAUCACAAUGGAGUUGAUUGAAAGCAAUUAUGAGAUAUGAGGCUCUAGAAAAAGUGAGAUUCCUUCAACAAACGAAAACUGUGAGAUAUGUAGCACCAACACUUGCUCAUUUUCACUUUUUUCUAUCGAUGCCGAUGUGUCAAAAUUGAGAUCAGUGUCGGCGUGUAUAGCUUGGAUAUCCUAUUGCCAUCUCUUAUGUGGAUGAUUUAUAGGGGUUAAUUUUGGAGCAAAUGGACGGUAAGACCAAUGGAAAAUGACCUAAACGGAUUGGAACUCUCCAAACUAGACUGGAAGUAUACAAGAGACAAGCUCAGGGGUUGUCCUGAGGGCGGGCGCAAGGGGCGACAGUCCAGGGCACCAUUUUUUCAGGGGCACCAAAAUUAUAAUUUUUACUUAAUAGUUAGUACUAUAUAGAUAUAUAUCUUUUUAAUUCGCUUUGAUUAAUUCUAUUGAAAAAAUAUUUUUAGAUAACUUUGAUUAUAAAUGAAUAUUUUACAACAAGAAGAAAAUAUUUGAAUAAUUAAAACAGCACAAUUUACUAUUUCACUCACGGCACCAAAAAUAUUAGGGCCGGCUUUGGACAUGCUCAUAUUAUAUAUUACUUUUCUAUAUGGUGUUAAAUAAAUUAUAUUUGUGUAUGCCAUAUUAUAUUUAAAUUUACCUAGAGAAACAUAGUCAAGUUUGUAUACACGUUAUACAAAUGUCCGUCUGGGAACAAAAGAUCUCUAUUCAUCAUAUUUUUUAUUUCUUAUACCAUAAGAUUUAUAUAUUACUUUUCUGCAUGGUGUUAAAUAAAUUAGGUGUAUGACAUGUUAUACAAUAAUUUAUACAAAGACUGACACUUUGAAGACAUGGUAGCGAUGUCAAGAUCAUUAAGUACAGAUGAGGUUGAAGAGAUUGUCCAAUGGCGACUUUAAACGAGUGAACUCGAGCUGAAAAAAUAGUUUGUGUCGAACUCGAGCCGAGUUUCGAGCCGAACCAAUUCUUAUCGAGUCGAGUUCAGACAGGUUCGGUUCGACUCGACUCAUUUCCAGUCCUAUAUAUAUAAAAUCAUAGGCUUAGAAGUAACAAAACUAUUUUGCAAACUUAACUAUUAAAGAUAUUAUAAUGAGUGGUAUGGUGGAAAAGAAAAUGUGAUAUCCCUAAAUUGGAGUUCAUGGGG
rnacentral:lncRNA from 1 species